rnacentral:piRNA from 1 species
CAUAGAGGAGGCAGGAGAGAAGGAU